rnacentral:tRNA from 1 species
GGAGAGAUGGCUGAGCUGGUCUAAGGCGCACGACUGGAAAUCGUGUUAAGGCUAAUACCCUUACGAGGGUUCGAAUCCCUCUCUCUCCGCCA